UUGCUCCAUAAGACGCACAUUUUCCCUCCUAAAAAGGAAGGGGAAAUGUGUGUGCGUCUUAUGGAGCAAA